GACAAAGGCGGCGGCUUACACAUGCAAGUCGAGCGCCCCGCAAGGGGAGCGGCAGACGGGUGAGUAACGCGUGGGAACGUACCUUUUGCUACGGAAUAACUCAGGGAAACUUGUGCUAAUACCGUAUGUGCCCUUCGGGGGAAAGAUUUAUCGGCAAAGGAUCGGCCCGCGUUGGAUUAGCUAGUUGGUGAGGUAAAGGCUCACCAAGGCGACGAUCCAUAGCUGGUCUGAGAGGAUGAUCAGCCACACUGGGACUGAGACACGGCCCAGACUCCUACGGGAGGCAGCAGUGGGGAAUAUUGGACAAUGGGCGCAAGCCUGAUCCAGCCAUGCCGCGUGAGUGAUGAAGGCCCUAGGGUUGUAAAGCUCUUUCACCGGUGAAGAUAAUGACGGUAACCGGAGAAGAAGCCCCGGCUAACUUCGUGCCAGCACC
rnacentral:rRNA from 1 species